CCCUAAAAUUCGAAAAUGUUGAAAAGGAAGUCCGAAUUCGGCAUGUCGAAGGCGCCGGAUUCCUCCGCCGCACCUCCGUGGAUCGAAUUGCCCGAGGAAUUGACGGCGAAUAUCCUCCAAAGGCUGCACGCCGAACAGAGACUGGGGAUCGCGCAGCUAGUGUGCAGUGCGUGGCGGAGAGCCUGCAAAAAUCCGGCCAUGUGGCGCGUUAUUGAUUUGGACUAUCGACGUUGCGAUGACGUAGCAGAAUUUGACAUCAUUUGCCGCUGCGCUGUGGAUCGUAGCCAGGGGCAGUUGAUCGAGCUCAAGGUUAUCAAUUUGGAAGAAUAUUCUGGGUUUCUAAACUACGCCGCCGAGCGAUCAAGUCAGCUUCAAUGCCUUACACUCGCAUGGUAUGAGGAAACUGAAACUGAUUUGACAGACAUGAUGAAAAAACUCCCUCAACUGGAAGAGUUGCACCUUAUCAGGAUGCCAUCACUCACACCCAAACAAUUUGCAACCAUUGGCAUCUCUUGCCCCAAGUUGAAAUCAUUUACAUAUAACCAACAUUCGUACGAGCAUCCAUUUUGUCCAGAAGAUGAGGAUUUUGAAGAUUUCUGCACUAAGCAUGCUAUUGCAAUUGGAAAAAGCAUGCCUAAUCUGCGCCAUCUCAGACUAUGGGAACUGUAUAUGAGGAACAAGGGAGUGAAAGCGAUUCUCGAUGGCUGCCCCCACCUUGAAUCACUCGAUCUUCGAAGAUGCUCUGGUGUUGAUCUAGAUGAAGUUCUGUUUAACAGAUGUAUAGAGCGAAUAAAAGAUCUGAUACUCCCUACUGACGGUAACACUAGUGAUCCUGAUUUGCUUGAAUAUCCUGGAUAUGAAGAUUGGGAUGUCAUUACAUCAUCGUAUUUGACAGAUUUGUGCAGGCCUGAUUGGUCUGAUGAUGGCUUCAAUGAUGAUGAUGGUUGUGGAGUAUUUGCUCGUUCUUACGAUUUCAAACCUUAUUAGAUGAAAAUGCUAAGACCAGCCAUAUCAGUAAAAUUGACACUGCUCAGUACGUGUGCAAGACUUGGUGGAGAGUCUGCCAGAAUCCGGCCACGUGGCGCUCUAUUGAUUUGGACUACCGACGUCCCGCCGCCCGCGAUUUCGGCAACAUUUGCCGCUGCGGGGGCUGCGGAGAUAACGAGAUCUUCAGUGAAAGGAGCUGCACACAUGACUACGUUUGCUGCAUUUGCUGCUGUAGGGCGAUCAAAUUCAGUUACUUUGUCCGUCGCGCAGUUGAUCUAAGCCAGGGACAACUCCUCAACCUCAAGCUUUGCGUUUGGAAAUUUCAUGACUUGCUAAAUUACGUAGCAGAUCGAUCAUGUCAGCUUCGAUGCCUUACAGUUUUUGUGUGUGAUACUCGUGAUUCAGUCAUAGAAGAUUUGAUUCUAGUUAUAAAAAAACUGCCACAGUUGGAAGAGUUGCACAUUAUGAUGAAUCAAAUGCUCAAGUCCGAUGAUUUUGAAACCAUUGGGAUUGCUUGCCCAAUGUUGAAAUCCUUUUCAUAUCACAACUGUUUCGAUGAAGAUGCAGAUUUUGCAGGGGACGUGGUGGCAAUUCGAAAAACCAUGCCGAAUCUGCACCAUCUGCGACUCUGUGAACAUCCGAUGGGAUAUAAGGGACUGGAGGCGAUUCUCGAUGACUGCCCCCACCUCAAAUCGCUCGAUCUUCGGCUAUGCUCUGGUCUUGAGAAAGUUUAUGAUUCUGACCAUAGACUUUCUGAGAGAGGAGAUCUGUGGCUCCAUACCGACUCUAUCAGUUUUAUGGAUUGGAUAACGAAAAGGAAAGACAACUAUGAUAGUGAUUUUGAAUAUGGUGAUUGUUACCAUUGUUGUGCUGAUAUUGAAGGAGAUUAUUAUUAGUUUUGUUGUAAAGGUUUUGGUGGUUAUUAGUAUUUCUAGUCUUGAAGGUUGUAAUGAGAUUUUGUUGGAGGCUUUAUUAUAUCUCCCAUUUUGCUUGGUA